GACGAACGCUGGCGGCGUGCUUAACACAUGCAAGUCGAACGGAAAGGCCCUGCUUUUGUGGGGUGCUCGAGUGGCGAACGGGUGAGUAACACGUGAGUAACCUGUCCUUGACUUUGGGAUAACUUCAGGAAACUGGGGCUAAUACCGGAUAGGAGUUCCUGCUUUAUGGUGGGGGUUGGUAAGUUUCGGCGGUUGGGGAUGGACUCGCGGCGUAUCAGCUUGUUGGUGGGGUAGUGGCUUACCAAGGCUUUGACGGGUAGCCGGCCUGGGAGGGUGACCGGCCACGUUGGAACUGGGAUGCGACCCAGACUACAACGGGAGGGGGGGGAGGGGAAUAUAGCACAAUAGACGGAGGCCAGGUGCAACAAAGCCGCGUGGGGGAUGUCAGCCUGCGGUUAGUGAACCGAUUUCGCCUGUGACGAGACGUGAAUGACGGUAAUGGGUAAAGAAGCACCGGCUAACUACGUG
rnacentral:rRNA from 1 species